CAGUGGAGGCAGUCCCUAACUUUCCUAAGGACGUGGUGAUUUCUGGGAAGGUUAAUGUAAACCCUAUCAUGAGGAUCAUUUGUGUUUGUUCCAUCAGUGUGACAUCGUUCAACUCGGUAGGAUUCAAAUUCAACACCUGGAACAGAAUUUGAAUAUUCAGGCAUCUUUUGAUAUGCAAAAAUGACACUAACAGAAUUUGGUUCAUACCUUGGUGGGAGAACAUCCUAGCUUCUUCAUCAUGCUCAAGGUAUUCAGCUUCUACAAGGUUUCCGUCUUCCAAGCAGUCUAUAGUAGACAAAUAUUAGUUUGUAAUAAUGUAUAAGAUCUCGUAAAUUAAACAAAGAACCAUAUAUGCAUUAAUGUGAACCAUCAAUGUUGUUUGUGUUGCCAUCGGGCUCCAGUAUUCCAUAUGCAUCAUCUUCGUGGUCAUUUCCUGGCAGCAUAUUCAGGCAAAAUGGGCAAGUAUGAGCUAUGAAUGAAAGGUAUGAACCAAGCAGUAGUCAAUUAAAUCACCAUUAUAUUUGUCGACGGGAUUGUGCCCACAUGACGGCGCAGUGAGUAUGUUGUCUGGCAGCAUCCUCCUUCCAAAGUCUUGUCUCUGGUACAUAUCAUUUGUGUGUAGCCAAUCACAAUCUUCAUCAGCUAAAGAAACAUUGAGUGUCUGUCAGUUAGGAAAUGAAAGAUUGGAUAUACAGUGUUCCAUGUAGUUGGC
rnacentral:lncRNA from 1 species